ensembl:lncRNA
GUCCAUACCAUUUCUGCAGUGGCUGUGCUUUGCUGGCAGCCGUGGAGAGAUACCCCACGUCCAAGGAACCUCCAUGAUGUUUUCCACAGUGGCUGCAUCAACUUAUAUUCCUACCAACAAUGUCAAUACCCUUUCUAGCCUUUGUUAUUUGUGGACUUUUUAAUGAUGGCCUUUCUGACUGCUGUGAGUUGGUACCUCAUUGUGGUUUUGAUUUGCAUUUUUCUAAUAAUUAUUGAUGUGGACUAUAUUUUCAUGCAUCUUUCUGUAUUUCUUCUUUGGAGAAAUGUCUAUUUCUUCUGCCCAUUUUUUGGAUAGGGCUUUUUGUGUUGUUGUUGACUUGUAUGAGCUGUUUGUAUAUUUUGAAAAUUAAGCCAUUGUCUGUGACAUCAUUUGCAAGCAUUCUAUAGGUUGUCUUUUUGUUUUGUCCAUGGUUUCUUUUGCUUGUAAGUUUGAUUGGGUCACUUUUUUUUUUUUAAUUUAUUUGCUUUUAUUUACAUUGCCUUGGGAGACUGACCUUAGAAAAUACUGGUAAAAAAAUUACGUCAGAGAAUGUGUUGCCUAUGUUCUCUACUAGGAAUUUUAUGCUGUCAUGUCUUAUGUUUAAGUCUUCAAGGCAUGUUGAGUUUAUUUUCAUAUAUGGUGAGAGGGUGUAUUCUAACUUCAUUGAUUUACAUGUGGCUGUCUAGCUUUCCCAGCACUACCUGCUGAAGAGAACACUGUCUUGCCAUUAUAUAACUUUGCCUCCUUUGUGGAAGAUUAAUUGGCCAUAGGUGUGUUGGUUUGUUUCUGGACUCUCUAUUCUGCUCCAUCAAUUCACAUGUAUGUUUUUGCACCAGUACCAUGCUGUUUUGAUUACUGUAGCUUUGUAGUACUGUCUGAAGUCUGGGAGGGUUAUGCCUCCUGCUUUGUUCUUUUUCUUCAGUGUUGUUUUGGCAAUUCUGUGUCUUUUAUGGUUCCAUAUGAAUUUUAGGAUUAUAUAUUCUAGUGCUGUGAAAAAUGUCAUAGGUAAUUUUAUAGGGAUCACAUUAAAUCUGUAUAUUGCUUUGGGUAGAAUAGACAUUUUAAUAAUAUUAAUUUUUCUAAUCCAAAAGCAUAGGAUAUAUUUC